AGAGUUUGAUCCUGGCUCAGGAUGAACGCUAGCGACAGGCCUAACACAUGCAAGUCGAGGGGCAGCGGAGAGGUAGCAAUACCUUUGCCGGCGACCGGCGCACGGGUGAGUAACACGUAUGCAAUCCACCUGUAACAGGGGGAUAACCCGGAGAAAUCCGGACUAAUACCCCAUAAUAUGGGCUCUCCGCAUGGAGGGUUCAUUAAAGAGAGCAAUUUUGGUUACAGACGAGCAUGCGCUCCAUUAGCCAGUUGGCGGGGUAACGGCCCACCAAAGCGACGAUGGAUAGGGGUUCUGAGAGGAAGGUCCCCCACAUUGGAACUGAGACACGGUCCAAACUCCUACGGGAGGCAGCAGUGAGGAAUAUUGGUCAAUGGUCGGCAGACUGAACCAGCCAAGUCGCGUGAGGGAAGACGGCCCUACGGGUUGUAAACCUCUUUUGUCGGAGAGUAAAGUACGCUACGUGUAGCGUAUUGCAAGUAUCCGAAGAAAAAGCAUCGGCUAACUCCGUGCCAGCAGCCGCGGUAAUACGGAGGAUGCGAGCGUUAUCCGGAUUUAUUGGGUUUAAAGGGUGCGUAGGCGGCACGCCAAGUCAGCGGUGAAAUUUUCGGGCUCAACCCGGACUGUGCCGUUGAAACUGGCGAGCUAGAGUGCACAAGAGGCAGGCGGAAUGCGUGGUGUAGCGGUGAAAUGCAUAGAUAUCACGCAGAACCCCGAUUGCGAAGGCAGCCUGCUAGGGUGCGACAGACGCUGAGGCACGAAAGCGUGGGUAUCGAACAGGAUUAGAUACCCUGGUAGUCCACGCAGUAAACGAUGAAUACUAACUGUUUGCGAUACAAUGUAA
rnacentral:rRNA from 1 species